rnacentral:rRNA from 1 species
UAACACGUGGAUACCUGCCUGAUUCCCCGGGAUAACAGGCCGAAAGGCCUGCUAAUACGGGAUAAGAUCGCAUGGCAAAAGGUCCUUUGGGACUGGGAUCAGAGGGGUCCGCGGCCCAUUAGCUAGUUGGGGGGGUAACGGCCCACCAAGGCGACGAUGGGUAGCCGGCCUGAGAGGGCGACCGGCCACACUGGGACUGAGACACGGCCCACACUCCUACGGGAGGCAGCAGUCGGGAAUUUUGGGCAAUGGCCGCAAGGCUGACCCAGCAACACCGCGUGAGUGAAGAAGGCCUUCGGGUUGUAAAGCUCUGUUGCCCGUGAAGAAGGUGCAGUCAGGAAAUGGGCUGUACUUGACGGUAGCGGGAGAGGAAGCCCCGGUUAACUACGUGUCAGCAGCCGCGGUAAUACGUAGGGGGUGAGCGUUGUCCGGAUUUAUUGGGCGUAAAGGGCGUGUAGGCGGUUCUUUAAGUCGGGGGUGAAACCCCAGGGUUCAACCCUGGAACUGCCUCCGAUACUGA